UACGAAGGGGGCUAGCGUUGCUCGGAAUCACUGGGCGUAAAGCGCACGUAGGCGGAUCUUUAAGUCAGGGGUGAAAUCCCAAGGCUCAACCUUGGAACUGCCUUUGAUACUGGGGAUCUCGAGUCCGGAAGAGGUUGGUGGAACUGCGAGUGUAGAGGUGAAAUUCGUAGAUAUUCGCAAGAACACCAGUGGCGAAGGCGGCCAACUGGUCCGGUACUGACGCUGAGGUGCGAAAGCGUGGGGAGCAAACGGG
rnacentral:rRNA from 1 species